rnacentral:piRNA from 1 species
UCCCAACAUCACUAAGGCUUCAGCAGCCCU